GUGGGAGACUGUGACCAGACCAAGCGACACGGAUCCUGAGAGCGCUCCCGGGUAGGCAUUUGCCCCGGUGGGACACCUCACCACAGCAGUGUGUGGCAGGCCCCCGUGGAGAAUCAACGCAGUGGCUGAACACCGGGAAGGAAUGGGCACUUGGAGUCUGGACAUCUAAAACUUGAAUUAGAGGAGACAGCACUGAUUGCAGUGACAGAAGCGGUGCCAGCUAACUCCCCACCAUCAAAAGUAUCUUCUGCUGUAGCCUGGCACAAGUUUCAAGCAUCCACUGGGGGUCUUGGGAUGUGUCGCCCUGCAGAUAAGGGCAACUGCUGUGCAGCAUGAACAGUAUGGAGACAAUACUUAUCUUCAUGGAGUUUAUAUUAGAGUAAGACAAGAGCUCCUUCCCUGUGUAUGCAGUUAACGGAGUGGGGUUUCCCCACUUGUCCCGCAAUCUAGGCACAACAGAUUCCUGUAGUGAGCUGCGUGCAAGGAAGAAGCCUGGUAGUGAAAGGUUAAUAGCCAAGAAAGAAAGAA
rnacentral:lncRNA from 1 species